rnacentral:tRNA from 1 species
GGUCGGGUAGCUCAGCUGGUUAGAGCGCGGGAUUCAUAACCCCGAGGUCGGGAGUUCAAGUCUCCCCCCGACCACCA